rnacentral:rRNA from 1 species
AGAGUUUGAUCCUGGCUCAGGAUGAACGCUGGCGGCGUGCUUAACACAUGCAAGUCGAACGAAGCACCUUGAUUCGAUUCUUCGGAUGAAGAUCUUGGUGACUGAGUGGCGGACGGGUGAGUAACGCGUGGGUAACCUGCCUCAUACAGGGGGAUAACAGUUAGAAAUGACUGCUAAUACCGCAUAAGACCACGGUACCGCAUGGUACAGUGGUAAAAACUCCGGUGGUAUGAGAUGGACCCGCGUCUGAUUAGGUAGUUGGUGGGGUAACGGCCUACCAAGCCGACGAUCAGUAGCCGACCUGAGAGGGUGACCGGCCACAUUGGGACUGAGACACGGCCCAAACUCCUACGGGAGGCAGCAGUGGGGAAUAUUGCACAAUGGGGGAAACCCUGAUGCAGCGACGCCGCGUGAGCGAUGAAGUAUUUCGGUAUGUAAAGCUCUAUCAGCAGGGAAGAAAAUGACGGUACCUGACUAAGAAGCACCGGCUAAAUACGUGCCAGCAGCCGCGGUAAUACGUAUGGUGCAAGCGUUAUCCGGAUUUACUGGGUGUAAAGGGAGCGCAGGCGGAAGGCUAAGUCUGAUGUGAAAGCCCGGGGCUCAACCCCGGUACUGCAUUGGAAACUGGUCAUCUAGAGUGUCGGAGGGGUAAGUGGAAUUCCUAGUGUAGCGGUGAAAUGCGUAGAUAUUAGGAGGAACACCAGUGGCGAAGGCGGCUUACUGGACGAUAACUGACGCUGAGGCUCGAAAGCGUGGGGAGCAAACAGGAUUAGAUACCCUGGUAGUCCACGCCGUAAACG